CAAUAGCGUAUAUUAAAGUUGUUGCGGUUAAAAAGCUCGUAGUUGGAUUUCUGCUGAGGACGACCGGUCCGCCCUCUGGGUGAGUAUCUGGCUCGGCCUUGGCAUCUUCUUGGAGAACGUUGCUGCACUUGACUGUGUGGCGCGGUAUCCAGGACAUUUACUUUGAGGAAAUUAGAGUGUUUCAAGCAGGCAUACGCCUUGAAUACAUUAGCAUGGAAUAAUAAGAUAGGACCUCGGUUCUAUUUUGUUGGUUUCUAGAGCUGAGGUAAUGAUUAAUAGGGAUAGUUGGGGGCAUUCGUAUUUAACUGUCAGAGGUGAAAUUCUUGGAUUUGUUAAAGACGGACUACAGCGAAAGCAUUUGCCAAGGAUGUUUUCAUUGA
rnacentral:rRNA from 1 species